rnacentral:rRNA from 1 species
AUGCCUAGAAUUGCCUUGAUGUGGGAUAACCAUUGGAACGAUGGCUAAUACCGCAUAAUGCUACGGCCAAAGAGGGGACCUUCGGGCCUCUCGCGUCAAGAUAUGCCUAGGUGGGAUUAGCCAGUUGGUGAGGUAAUGGCUCACCAAGGCGACGAUCCCUAGCUGGUCUGAGAGGAUGAUCAGCCACACUGGAACUGAGACACGGUCCAGACUCCUACGGGAGGCAGCAGUGGGGAAUAUUGCACAAUGGGCGAAAGCCUGAUGCAGCCGUGCCGCGUGUAUGAAGAAGGCCUUCGGGUUGUAAAGUACUUUCAGUUGUGAGGAAGGGUGUGUAGUUAAUNNNNGCGCAUCUUGACGUUAGCAACAGAAGAAGC